GGUUUUUNNAUAGUUGAAUAACAACGAUGAUUUUUCAUGUCAUUGGUCAUGGUUAAAUUCCAUGUAAAAAUA
rnacentral:tRNA from 1 species